rnacentral:rRNA from 1 species
GACGUAGGGCGCGAGCGUUGUCCGGAUUUAUUGGGCGUAAAGAGCUCGUAGGCGGCUUGUCGCGUCGUGUGUGAAAUCUCAGGGCUCAACUCUGACAUUGCAUACGAUACGGGCAGGCUUGAGUUCGGUAGGGGAGACUGGAAUUCCUGUGUAGCGGUGAAAUGCGCAGAUAUCAGGAGGAACACCGGUGGCGAAGGCGGGGUCUCUGGGCCGAUACUGACGCUGAGGAGCGAAAAGCGUGGGGGAGCGAACAGG